GUGUUCACUUCGGCAGCACAUAUACUAAAAAUGGAACAAUACAGAGGAGAUUAGCAUGGCCCCUGCAAAAGGAUGACAUGCAAAUUCCUGGAGCAUUCCAGAUUUUU
ensembl:snRNA U6 U6 spliceosomal RNA